UACGUAGGUGGCAAGCGUUGUCCGGAUUUACUGGGCGUAAAGAGCGCGCAGGCGGUCGUGCAAGUCGCGUGUGAAAGCCCCCGGCUCAACUGGGGAGGGUCACGCGAUACUGCUCGACUUGAAGGCAGGAGAGGGAAGUGGAAUUCCGGGUGUAGUGGUGAAAUGCGUAGAGAUCCGGAGGAACCCCAGAGGCGAAGGCGGCGCCCUGGCUCGCAACUGACGCUCAGACACGACAGCAUGGGGAGCGAACGGG
rnacentral:rRNA from 1 species